rfam:Octopus bimaculoides Scaffold140299_contig_75, whole genome shotgun sequence.
AGGUGCAUGGCUUAGUGGUUAGGGCAUUCGGCUCCUGAUCGUAAGGUCGUGAGUUCAAUUCCCGGCUACGCGUU